UACGGAGGGUGCAAGCGUUGUCCGGAAUCACUGGGCGUAAAGGGCGCGUAGGCGGCCCGGUAAGUGGGGGGUGAAAUCCUGCGGCUUAACCGCAGGGCUGCCUUCUAAACUGUCGGGCUCGAGUACGGUAGAGGCAGAUGGAAUUCCCGGUGUAGCGGUGGAAUGCGUAGAGAUCGGGAAGAACAUCAGUGGCGAAGGCGGUCUGCUGGGCCGUUGCUGACGCUGAGGCGCGACAGCGUGGGGAGCAAACAGG
rnacentral:rRNA from 1 species